CUUCUGGCAGCAGUGGGAGAUCCAGAAAGAGGACGCAGUCAGGCAUCCUUUAUUAUUCAGAGUUUUUUGGCACAUUUGAGUCUUUGCGCGUUCCUCGUCUUGCACUCCCACAAGCGACGUGGUUCCAAUGCUCAAAAUUCAUACCUUACUCGGCGACAGCGCUCCUGGCUCAUGUUUGAAAGCACACGGGCGUGCACGUAAACAUAUGCGUAGAUGUGGACAAUCUGUCAAGCUCACAGUUCAAAUUCUGGGUCUUCAUCAGACGAAAAUGUUACGCUAAAGCGAAUGCAGAUGUGGCAGUACGGUCGUCUAAACAAGGCUUUCUGAUUCACUGGCUUGUUAUUUGUACAGAUGAAUGUUUUUACUGUAUCGGCCUAAAAUGUGUGUGUGUGUGUGAGAGAGAGAGAGAGAUAUACAGCAAAGAUUUCCAUGAUAAACACGGAGAACGCUACGUUAUGAUCCAACAAUUUAAUAUUCACGAAAUCAGAAUUAUAGCACGUUUACUAUUUACAGCUCUGUACAGCGUGUAUGAGUGUGUGUGUGUGUGUGUGUGUGUGU